GGAUGGAGAGGAGGGUACAGCAGCCAGCUUGUUCUGCCUAGGUCCCUGCAUUCCUAUUUCCCUUCUUUCCCCUCUGCUCCCACAUUGGUAUCAAGAGAUAUGUUCCAGUUCCAAAGAGAAUCAUCAAGAACAUGGACUUAAAUCUUGUGGCCUCUUUAGUCCUUCCAUCAAGACUCCCGUGUUCAGGAUCCCAUGGCUCGAACUGUGCUUUCUACAAAGGUGUCUGUUUGCUGGCUGUACUGGUGGGAGUCUCAGUAUAGGUGGAUGUUGUUUGAGGCAAGUCAACAAAAAAGAGAGCAGAGAGACCCGAGGUCAUCAAGCUGUCACCCUUGCAUUUUGUGUAAACUUCUGAAGAAGGUAUCAUUGAGACUGCUAGCCAGCGGAGAGAGUGUGUGAAGGAAAAGAAUGGCUGAGAAGCACAGAAGAUGGAGAUGAAAGACCAGAGUGACUUUGAAGUUUGUUUUACACAAGCUCUCACAGAGGCUGUGGGUGAUCAGCUGCAGUCCAAGGAGAGCCCUGCUCAACUUAAC
ensembl:lncRNA